UUAAAUAGCCGCGGUAUUUUAACUGUGCAAAGGUAGCAUAAUAAUUAGUCUUUUAAUUGAGGUCUGGUAUGAAUGGUUAGACGAGAAAUAUACUUUAUUUGAAUAAUUUUUUUGAAUUUUAAGUUUAAGUUAAAAUUCUUAAAUUUUUAAGUGGGACGAUAAGACCCUAUAGAUCUUAAUAAUGAUUUUUUUUUUUUUUUUUGUUGUUUUUUAUUAUAAUUUUGAAUCUUUUUUUUGUUGGGGUGAUUACCAAAAAUUUAAACUUUGGUUUAUUUUUACAUAAUAUUUAUGGUUUUUUUGAUCCUUUUUUUUGAUUAUAAGAUGAAGAUACCUUAGGGAUAACAGCGUAAUUUGAUUGGAGAGUUCUUAUCGAUAAUUAAGUUUGCGAC
rnacentral:rRNA from 1 species